UCAGACGUGGUGUAAGGGACACCCUCGCCUUCACUAAUACGGAUGCUCAUAAGCUUCGGCGAGUUCCCGGGGUUCGAUUCCCCGCGUCUGAA